rnacentral:lncRNA from 1 species
UUUCCUGCUGGCAAUUUAUUGUUGCUAAGUUGUUAAGCUCCAUUUCUCAUUUAUUUCGCACUUAAGAAAACUCGUCAAUACCUCAAAUUUUUAAAAAGCUGAGAAACAAAGUACAGUAUAAUGUCAAAUUGAAGAAACAAAAGAUACAGCUUAUAUUGUAUUUUUGAAAAUAUAAUUAACUGAAUACAUCAAUUUUUCUAAUAAACAUUUAUCCUUAAAAGUAAUUCCACAUCCCAACAAAGAUGUUCCCAUUUCUCUGAAGUCAGUAAGCAAACCUUAAUUAGUCCAAGAACUUGGCUUUUCCUCCAAGUUAAAUUUUUAGCAUCUGUAUUUUUAAACUAGUAUAUAAAAUCACCACUAUAUAUAUAUCUAUGUUAAUUUCACCAUUAUCAUUUACAUUUACUUUUCAGCUAUUAGAGACUUAGUGCUUUAAGUAGCAAACUACCUACAUUAUAAACAUGUAUUUUCAAAACAAAAUCCAGUUCACAAUUAUAUAUACAGUGCAGAAGAUUAAAAACUACAUUAGCAUGUGAUUUCUUUUUCCUAAGGUUCCUAUAAAGAAAUGUAUGCUUGUUCUAUACUAUCCAUUAAUUCUGUACAUUUAAAACAACAUUUGGCUUGACUUAGUCAAAAAUAUAAAGGCUAAAAUUUUUUAUAAGACUAACUCAUUAAAAAUAGGACUCAAAUUCUAAACCAAGCCCUAAAACCAAGCAUUCAAAGAAUAUCUGAAUCAUUUUAGUAUUUCUGCAUGGUACGAUGAGGUUUCACAAACAAUAAUUCAAAAGUUUUAUUAUUCAGUGAUGGGAAUGGCCUACGACUCAAGAUAACCCACAAAUUCAUAUGUUUUACAAGCAGCAGUAAUAUAAAGUUAAUUCAGUUAAAGACCUCAUCAUCUACCAACCAAUACCAUUAACCUGUUCACAGAAUUAUUAAAGUAUUUCUAUCAAGUCUAACGUGUCCUUUUAAGGUUUGUGUGUCGCUAUUAAAUGUGUUAUAAAGGAAUGAGGUAGAAUCCCAUUUUUUAAAAGUACUGCUAUGUAAGCCAAUUUCACACGAAGACAUUUUUACGUCACAUAAAUAUUACUACGGCUUCAGUGAACUAGGUAACUUUCAGAGAGCCGUGUUAAACCCAAAGCUAAUCAAUUUAUGGAACUGUUGUUCUCUGCUUAUUACCAUAUUUGAGUAACCAUAAAGACAGAAAAAAAUCUUAAGUGUAUUACUUUGGAGGUAUUCGUAUGGGAUUUUACCAUUUCUAGAAAGAAAUGGGAGAACUUUUUGGUCACAGCCUGGACUACAGAAAACUAUAAAUUGAAAAUGUAAAGAUAGAAUUCAAAGGGCCUCAAAAACAUCUGUAGUAACUGAGAGCAUAAUCUGCAGAACAUGAAAUUCCUUCCGUUCUAGUCUUCCAGUGACAAACUCCACUUAGCAGGGCUUAGGAAGUUGCUCUUAAAAUUACAAAUUUUACAGGCCAUCAUGGCCUAAGCACAGAAUAGCCUACUCAAAAUAUCUCCACUCUUCUUAAAAAAAGAAGUAUAUAUACUCAUUCUUUUUCAAAAACGACCCAAAAUAUCACCAGUACAUUUUAUAAAAUUAAAUGCAAAU